UACGGAGGGGGCGAGCGUUAUUCGGAAUCAUUGGGCGUAAAGGGCGCGUAGGCGGCCCCGUAAGUCUUGGGUGAAAGCCCUCGGCUCAACCGAGGAAUUGCCUUGGAUACUGCGGGCUCGAGGCUGGAAGAGGGUAGCGGAAUUCCCGGUGUAGCGGUGAAAUGCGUAGAUAUCUGGAGGAACACCGGUGGCGAAGGCGGCAUCCUGGACCAAUUCUGACGCUGAGUGAGCGAAAGCCAGGGAGCAAACGGG
rnacentral:rRNA from 1 species